GAAAUUAUAACUCGAUGGACAGGGAAAACGAUUCUGUGGUAAAGAGAAAAAUACGUGCAGUCAUCGACUUACUGUGAUGUUUUAAAAUUUUGUUGUGAAAGACGGCCGGAAAUUUCGCUACAUCGUUGUACUGGAUUCUAAAAACUUCUACUGGAAAUUCGACAAUGGAUAAAGAGCCAACGCUUGAAUGAAAGAAUGGUAGGUUUUUAAAGAGUUAUCACUUUUUCAUAUUAAAUAUUUUUUAGUUUAAAAAAUCGAGACUUUGCUAGAGUCAGUAUAGACAAUAAUUUUUGGCUAACGUUGUUUUAUACAUCUCGUUGGUACCCAAUUCGCAUCUUUAGGUAAAUCACAUGCCUAAAAGUAUUUUUCUUUGUUAUUUAUAUUAUACGACUUUGGAACACCAUUUUACAUUUUUUUAAAAUUAAUUUAUAUGUUUACAACGCUUUGUUUACAUUUUGAACUGCUAUAUUUGUAAAAUAUGAUAUACUAACUUGAACAUCUAACACUUUUCUGGUUCGCUAUGCAUGUAAAUGAAUGUAAACUCUACGUUUCAAUUUAAUAUAAACUAGAAAAUACAUGCAUGCAGAAACCCUCGCCUUGCUGACAAACAGACAAAACCAUUGUAUUUUCCGAACAUGAAGUAUCUGAAGUAGUUGUCAUGGUAACACGAUAAUUUUUUAAGAAUAUUCUUACAAAUGAAAAAUCGCCUAAAAAAUAUCACUUUUAAUUACAAAAUUAUUAAUUUGCCAACAUAUAUAUGUUAGGUAUGUUAUUAUACGUAAUAUAUGCCUCAAUUUAAGGUAAAAUUCAACCACAAACGCUUCGCAAAACGUUUUAAAGUCACUAGUGUUCUUUAUAAAACUAAACUGACUUUUAAAAUGGCUUUAUCGAUAAACUUUGAGUUUGCAAUAAAAUGACUUCGAAUUCUCGCUUGCAAAUAACUCUGCUUUCUUUUUUAUUUAAAAAAUUCAAUAUCAUAAAAAGGGAAUCAAUAUUACUAAAGAUACACUGAAAUAAUAUGCUGUCUUGUUUAGUUGUUUCAUAUAUGCAAAGGCCGUCGGGUUUUAAAUUAAAUCCAUUAUAAAAUCAAUAUAUAAAACAAACUUACCUUCGUUAACGUCGGCUCACUUCUUUUAGCAGAUUCUUUCGCCUUUUCUUUCUUGAAAUUUACAAAAUCUUGCAAAAAUGCGAGCGAAAAUGAAAUAUAUUUGUGAUAUUUGCAAGAAAUUUAUCAAUCAUCAAAUCAAGAAAUGUUUGCUAUUUAGCUGUCGUCAUGCAGUCGUUAAUCGUUAUAAUGCAAACUUUAAAUUGGACCAAUCAGUUUUCGCUAUUCAUGACAGUCCGCCACAUAUUUUGAGAUCAGUGAGGAUGACCACCCACCGAAACUUCGUUGGUGAGCCACGCCCGCGAUAUUUGAUGAACUUUAGACUUCGCUAAUGCUUUCGUUUCCCCGGGUGUAAAUAGCCGGGGGGAAUUAGUACCCUCGCACGGCGCUUCGCGCCGUCGGCUCGGGGAAAAUGGAAAGAUGCAAAAUUUGGGCAAUGUUUACAUUAUAUCUGCGGGAAUCCCCUAUAAAUACACAGUGGCGUGCUGGGUACUAAUUUUCUGGGGCAGUGGACUUAAAACUAAUAUGCGCCCUUAUAUUGUAACGCUUGAUAAACGAGUGUCGAAGGCACGAGCCGAGCGCCGCAGGUGCGAGGUUUCUCUAGGGGGGCCGGGGGCAUGCCCCCUCGGAAAAUUUUUGAAUUUAGGGUCUCUGAAAUGCCAUUUCCUGGACUUUGGGGGGAAGGUUUGACAGAAAUCUGAUGGUCAGGAAACGGCAUUAUAUCGUGUUGAAAUUUGCAAUUUGGUUAGAAUUUAGUAGUAGUAUUUAAAUUGGUCAAUGCUAACUCAGUUCCAGCGAUUAAUCUAAUCCCAUUUCUAUUCUCUACUGAUCUCGUGAUCUGAAUACAUUUACAACAUACAGCUCUUUUAUAAAAUAACACCCCACGCAUAUGCACUUUAAGUUACCUUGCUUGACUGCCAAAAGGGCGCGUUUCAGCAUUAUUUUAUCACUUACAUUACUCAUGAGUCAUGAUGUUUCUUGCACAAACAACUAAAUUGCGUACACAACUUACAUUAUCAUAACUAUCUCAUUUGCGCCGCUCUCGUGAUUCGUGAAGCAUAAUUCCUUCAUAAUAUAAGGGCAUAAUACCAGCAAAAAAGGGCAUAAUUCCCGUGAUCGCUUCGAAACCUGACCAAUAUUCCGGUAAUGAGAGAUUGUGUGUAUCACUGAUCAUGUUUCUAUAUAACGAUUUUGUGUGAGCCGUGAAGUAGCAAAUUAGCCAAUACGGUUAGACCAAAUAGUCUGUAAUUUAAUAUAUCACUUUGUUGUCUAUGCGCUUAGUCUCGAUCUGUUUAUAAGCUUAUAUAAAUAUAUACUUCUUGACGGAAGUAACUAUAUUUUUUCAAAUGCGUUUUUUCCCACCCACUUUCAAAAUUCCGCACGGGACGGCGCCCCCUUUUCAUUUUUGCGCCCCCCAAGAAUUGCCAGCUGGGGGGGCUGUGGCCCCCCGGCCCCCCUGCCAGCACGCCACUGUAAAUACAUGCAAAUCUCCUAAUUGUUAAUAUGAGCAGAACUGAUAACAAGACAUAAAUUUACAUAAUCAAGAAAUAAAAAUAUAAUGUCAUGCAAUUUUUGGUCUUUUUGCAAGGGGACCACACAAUUUUGCCUGGGUUAUAUGUCCUACAUAGAGCAUAAUAAAGGCACAAUGCAGCUUUAUAGGUAUACACAACUACACACAUGAGUAGUCUUGGCUAUUAAACACAUUGAGCAACAGCACUCUCCCUAUCUAUCCAAGUUUUUGACAGUUUUUCAGGCAUUUUAUAUGCUGGUAAUAAAUUGCUUUUGAAGAGUUUAUUGUAUUAUAAACCAGUUUUUCAAACAAAAUUCAUAGAAACAGUUCGGUUAAUUUAUGUGCGUUCAUUGGAUCAUUCCAGAAAACAUCCAUAGUCCACCCCCACAGAGGAAAUUGGAAGUUGACCCCCCUUACCCCUUCGGAUGUCUUAAUUCAUUUACUAUUAUCAGAAACAGUUUUGCCUCCCCUCCCCCUCCGGACGGCAGAAAUUUCCUCCGUGGGGACAGUGUGGAUCUUUUCUGGAACGACCCAUUAUGGUGGUACCUGAGUUAGACAACAAUGCCAUGCUUUUUGUUUGGAAGAAUUUGAGGACUGCCCAUGCAGGAACCGAGACAAGUUGGUUUAAGUAUUUACAUGCAGUCAAAUCUGAUGUUCUGUUGCUGGCAACAUUGCAAUAUUGAUCGGCUGAUGGCUCAAGCAAAUUGCAACCAACACGAACAAAUUACAAGUUUUACAUACAGAACUUUGCAAUUAUCAGAUGCCAAGUAUUGGAUUGGCUUGUUUUCUACUAGUAGCCAAUCGGACUUUAUUUUACAAACUUGGAUCCAAAUCAUAUUAUGAACUUUUGAAUUUCGCAGUUGACGUCGGUUUGAUACUGUUGCUUAAUGUAAAAAUUGCAAUUUGUUAGCGUCAGUUGCAAUUUGCUAAAGGAAUCAGCCGAUCAAUAUUGCAUGUCAAUGUUGCCCGCAACAGAACACGUGAUUUGACUGUAAUUACACAUGUACCAUAAAUUCAGUCUUGAAAACUGACCAAAAAAAUGCUAAAACACUGAGACAAAAUAUGCCACUCACUACUCAUGCUCAUGUUCAUCUUUCAAAUUUUUAAUUACUUCAAAUAUAUUUAUAAGGACAUAUAUGGUACUAGAAUCUAUUUAUUUUCAAUAUAAACCAAGGAUGGGAAGGUGAGAAAAUAGGAAUUUUCUGAGGUGUUUUUAACACAGACAAUGACAGCCGACAUUUUCAAAAACAAAUUGUGGUGACAAAACCAAAAGCUAUAUUAAAUAUGUCUAAUACUCCCUUGCGUUUGACCAAAAAAUUUUAAAAUAUUUUUAUUGAUCGAAAGUAAUUCUUUUGAUGAGAGGAAAGGUUUUCGACAAUUUUCAGAAAGUUUGGACUAGUUUGAGGCAGUUUUUGAUUUUUUUGAAAUAUUUCCUCUGGUCUCCUUUGCUAAGCCCAGAAUACCCUGACAGGCCUUAAAAUAUCUUUUACAGGGCCGUCUGACAAAAUGUCCGGUGACGUUGAAUUUGGGUCGGACAUUUGUCCGAUGACCUUCAGUUCAGUUUUGACUCGGAAAUCUGAAUGACACAAAUGAAUAAAUGGUAAAUGUUGUAAAGAUAUGUUAAAUAAUUUGUUCCUUUCAUACUUAUUUCCAAGCCAAAAUUAACUUGCUUUCUAGAACAGCAGUAUUAAAAAAAGACUUCGACAACGUAAGCCCGUUUUCCACUUCACCAUUUCGCUCGCCGCCCCACGCUCGACGGUACUACGUUAAUUAAAACAACAUUUCCAGUUCACCUUUUAUACAAUAGUAUACGUACUCUGAUUUUCCAUUUAACAUACAAGCCUCUAGUCCUGGGCUAGGGUACAUUUUGAUUUACGCCGGACAAAGCUACAGUUCGGUCGGACACGAAUACACUCGGGUCGGACAAACAAUAAACCUCAGUUUCACCUUGGUUGGACAGAAUGUCCGGUGGUUUCCUUUCUACGUCGGACAAUUUCACGAAUGGGUCGGACAAUGUCCGUGACCGACCGAUAUUUUAAGGCCUGUGACCCUGUGGCCCUUUGCAUUUGACCAAAAGUUUUUAAAACUUGUUUCAUUUGAUCAAAAGUGAUUGUUUUGAAGAGAGGAAAUGUUUUCGACAAUUUUCAGAAACUGUGGACUAGUUUGAGGCGGGUUUUGAAUUUUUGAAAAAUUUUCUGUGGUUCACCCUUUGCUAUGCCCAGGGAAGUCAAGUUUAAGUGAUAAUAGACGACCCUACUCUUUUAUUUUACUCUGUCUGAUGGCAGAUGGUUUUACUUGUCAAUUGGAGAGUGCUGACACUCAAUGGGUUAAUCUGCCCAUGCACUUGUUUUAACUCUAUUAACCCAUUGAGUCGCAUAAUUGCACCCUGAUGCACCCUACUUUAGUAUUUUACUCUGUCUAACGCAAGACGAUUUUACUUGUCAAGGGGAGAGCGUUGGCGCUUAAUGGGUUAACUACAGAGCCUAUCUGCCCAUGUUCUAGUUAACCCAUUGAGUCGCAUUGCACCCUACUUUAGUAUUUUACUCUGCCUAACGCCAGACGAUUUUACUCGUCAAGGGGAGAGCGCUGGCACUUAAUGGGUUAAAGUGGUAAUGCACCAUGCUUUAUUAUUUUACUUGUGUCUAAUGACAGAUGAUUUUACUUGUCAAAUGGAGGGUGCUGACAUACAUGGUUUAGUUAGAUGGGAUCGAUAGUUUCAUCUGUACACUCAAAUUAAUUUGGAAAAUGUCUAGCAUCUUCCUAUGUUGAUUAAAUUUUCGAAUUUUACCCUGAAUCACUCCAAGCAAAAUAUGUUGUACAAAAUUUGAAAAAUUUUGAAUGGAUGAAACACGAAGAGGGACCACAGGCAUCCUCUCAGAUUUUUAAUUCGUCAAUUUUCUUCAAACCAUUGAUUCAAUCUAAGCCUAAGGUGUAAAUAUGACCUGAAUAUAAUGUUUUCUUUUCCAGGCAAGACAGAUCAACGUGGAUGAUGUUUCGACGCUUUAUGAAAGUGACAUGUUUUCUAAGAACAGAUUUUGUGCUGGCAAGAAAAGAAAGCUUAUCAUUCAGACAUUACGAGAAGCCUUACGAAUGUGAACAUAUAAGAUAAUGAAUUCAGGACAUCAAUCUGAGGCAUAGAGAACUAAAACCAACCAAACAAACUUUAUCAAAUCAGG
rnacentral:lncRNA from 1 species